GAGUGUGUUUUGAGUCAUGCUGUCAGCAUAACCUCUUAAUUUUUAUCACAGAUUUCACAGCAUUUGGUGUUUCUCCUUGCAGGCUCCACUAGUUCAUUGGCUGGAUUCAGGAGUUUUCAUUUCCUUCAUUCCCUUUUUCAUUCCCCUGUUGGCUGGGGAYCUCUGGAGACUGGUGGACUGCCGACUUCUCCUGGCUUGGGGGCUGCUCACUCUGCAACUUUUCCUUCCUUCGUGUUUCUGGAACGCUGCUCUUACAAGAGGGGUCAAGUAUCCGCAAGUGUGACCUCUACAUCCUGCUGCCAAGCCUGUCUCUUCGUGUUUUUAUGCAGGCCCUUCCCUCCCAGAGAAGAAAUGGAAACMGUCUGCAAAGUGCUAAUCCUGAGUAUUUUCCGUCUCUGUGGGAAUCARGAAGGAAGGCAUUGCUACAUGUUGAGUUUGUCAGAGAUGCAAAGGGGACUAUCCCAGCUCAUCAGGGCAAGCACUGGGCUAGGUCUCCGGUUGUGCUUUUGUGGAGAGGAGCAUCAAGGCAACAAAGCUCUCAGGGUGCCCUGGUAUGGUUAUACUUGCUCAUCUGCAAUCGCUGCCACGCCAAAGCUCAAGCCCAGCCUCAGAUUACCAAUGCGCAGGUACAACAUGAUACAGCACAUCCCCCUCCGGUUGGAGCCGCUUCUGCUUUUGUUCAUCCUUGGAUYUAAGGCGUACAGAGAACGGCCCAGAUGUACACACGCAGCGCCCAUGCUCAAGAGUUCCCGGCCGAACCAAUGCUGUGCAUUAAGAGCUGUGCAAACAGCUUCCUGGCUUUUACAGCAAGGGCAGAUGUUUGUGCUGUGUUUCAAAACUGAGUGAARAAG
rnacentral:lncRNA from 1 species